AACAUACGAAGCGCGGGCACGAUGUCAACUCUGAGACCUCGGCUUGUCAUGACCCACAGACUGCUUAGAAAGCAUAUUUUAAAAUGUAUGAUUUAAACUACGUGCUACAACUGCAUAAUUGCGGAGGAAAACUAAAGUGUGACAAGGAUAUGAUGGCGGUGGUGUAGGAGUGAGGCCGAUUCCUGCAUACUCAUUGCCUGGUUCCUCAUCCUCCAUCCUUCCCACAGUAGGAACUAAAGAAACUGGUGCUGGGGGCAAUGGGAAGGCAGCCGGUGGUGGAGGCGGCAGCGGUCGUUCCUGAAUCCAGCUGCCCUUCCGUGACCCCAUGUCCCCUGCUAUGGGUUUGACCUCUGCCACUGGCAAUGCAGGUAGAGGCCUCCGGGACAGAGAGUCCUGGGAAGGUAGACGAGGUCGUGUUUGGCUUUGUAAAAGGGCAGCAGAGUCUUCAAGAGCACCGCGGACCAUGGAGAGCAGACCGUCUGCUGGAGGGGCAGUACCGCACACCGAGAGGGCAGGCAGGAGGUCAGAAAGACGUGACCAAGCAUGUUGAAGAACUGGAGGAAUAUCUCCAACGUGGCCAGCCUUCCAGAUGGAAAGGAUCUCAGCCAAGGCAGCAGCGAAGUCCCGGGAUGGGGUGGUGGGGAGAGAGGCGGAGGUCAAAGCGGAUUGGACUAGAGCCGAGAGUGACGUUUUCCACUGGAUGUCCCCGGAGCCGGUGCUUGAUACAGACAAGCGGCGCGUUGGGAUUUCCAGAUUGAGGGCAGGCAUGUCGUAGAUGCCUCCAUCAGGUUCUGACACAUCGUCAAUUGCGUCUUGCUUUCUCAGACUGGAAAUCGAAUAGCUACGUCCGUUUACAACCGUUUCUACAGUUAAUCCCGACAGCUCGCUUGCCUCCAAGGGUAAACCAGGAAGACUGGGAACACUGUACACAUCCUCAUCCUCUGCAUCUCCAAUCGCAGCAGCAGAUCCUGGAAUAUUGUAGGUUUGCUGCUGAUGCUCUGAGGAAUUCAAGGCCAGGGUGGGAACGUCAUAAAUCUGAAAUAUAUGAGCAAUGACAACAUGGUUACUGAGUGCUUACAGUGUUUAGAAAGAGUAACAACGAUUUUUGGAUUCUGAACUACAUUUACUUGUACACUUGAGAAAUCCUGAAUGCUAUUGUGCAACUUGCGGGAUAUACCAUGGAUCAUGCUGUUGUGUGGGAAAACAAAGUUAAGGCCACUGCUCAACUUGGAGAUCGGACUACAUUAUAAAACCAUUGAAAUCUGACAAGAUCUUAAAACACUAGAUAUUUGACUCCUCAUGACCCAGUACAGAUUGCACAGACAGACAGAAGAGGACACUUCACUGUUGUUAUUGUUUUCUGGAUCAGUCAAUUACACUUCUCAGUUUUAUUGGUACUUGUUUUGCAGACCUAACAUGUGGAAUCCACACUUGUUGUCCUGUUUGUUAAAUGUGUGAGAAGUCACAUCCUGUCAUCGAAUGAUUGCCUGCAUUUGUUGGUGUGAAUUGUGGUAAACGUUUUAAGACUGGAACUACAUUUAAAUACAGGAGUGAAUGCCUUA
ensembl:antisense